rnacentral:rRNA from 1 species
GACGAACGCUGGCGGCGUGCUUAACACAUGCAAGUCGAACGAAGUGGCGAACGGGUGAGUAACGGGUAAUCAACCUGCCCUUCAGAGGGGGACAACAGUUGGAAACGACUGCUAAUACCGAAUACUGAGGGAGGGGAUUGCGGGGGAUUAGCUCGUGGGGGGGGUAACGGCCCACCAAGGCGAUGAUCAGUAGCCGGUCUGGGAGGAUGAACUGCCAACUUGGGAAUGGGACACGGCCCAGACUCCUACGGGAGGCAGCAGUGGGGAAUCUUGCGCAAUGGACGAAAGGCUGACGGAGCAACGCCGGGUGAGAUAUGACGGCCUUCGGGUUGUAAAACUCUUUUAAUCGGGACGCGGUACCGGAAGAGAAAGCCACGGCUAACUACGUGCCAGCAGCCGCGGUAAUAC